AUCUUUUUGUAGUUUAUAAACAUGAUGAUUGAGUGUUCACACUCUUGUGUGAGAAGUGCCUCCCUCAAAUCCUGUUAUGACAUUGGCACAUUACCUGGCUGACA